UACGUAGGCAGCGAGCGUUGUUCGGAGUUACUGGGCGUAAAGGGUGUGUAGGCGGUUGUUUAAGUUUGGUGUGAAAUCUCCCGGCUCAACUGGGAGGGUGCGCCGAAUACUGAAUGACUUGGAGUGCGGGAGAGGUGAGUGGAAUUCCUGGUGUAGCGGUGAAAUGCGUGGAUAUCGAGGAGGAACGAGCCGGUGGUGGUAGACGGCGU
rnacentral:rRNA from 1 species